GAUGAACGCUGACAGAAUGCUUAACACAUGCAAGUCGAACGGAAAGGCCCUGCUUUUGUGGGGUGCUCGAGUGGCGAACGGGUGAGUAACACGUGAGUAACCUGCCCUUGACUUUGGGGUAACUUCAGGAAACUGGGGCUAAUACCGGAUAGGAGCUCCUGCUGCAUGGUGGGGGUUGGAAAGUUUCGGCGGUUGGGGAUGGACUCGCGGCUUAUCAGCUUGUUGGUGGGGUAGUGGCUUACCAAGGCUUUGACGGGUAGCCGGCCUGAGAGGGUGACCGGCCACAUUGGGACUGGGAUACGGCCCUU
rnacentral:rRNA from 1 species